rnacentral:rRNA from 1 species
UGGGGAAUAUUGGACAAUGGGCGCAAGCCUGAUCCAGCCAUGCCGCGUGAGUGAUGAAGGCCCUAGGGUUGUAAAGCUCUUUCACCGGUGAAGAUAAUGACGGUAACCGGAGAAGAAGCCCCGGCUAACUUCGUGCCAGCAGCCGCGGUAAUACGAAGGGGGCUAGCGUUGUUCGGAUUUACUGGGCGUAAAGCGCACGUAGGCGGACUUUUAAGUCAGGGGUGAAAUCCCGGGGCUCAACCCCGGAACUGCCUUUGAUACUGGAAGUCUUGAGUAUGGUAGAGGUGAGUGGAAUUCCGAGGGUAGAGGUGAAAUUCGUAGAUAUUCGGAGGAACACCAGUGGCGAAGGCGGCUCACUGGACCAAUACUGACGCUGAGGUGCGAAAGCGUGGGGAGCAAACAGG